CCUACGGGUGGCAGCAGUGGGGGAUAUUGCACAAUGGGGGAAACCCUGAAGCAGCGACGCCGCGUGAGGGAAGAAGGAUUUCGGUAUGUAAAGCCCUAUUAGUAGGGAAGAAAAUGACAGUACCUGACGAAUAAGCACCGGCUAACUCCGUGCCAGCAGCCGCGGUAAUACGUAGGGGGCAAGCGUUAUCCGGAAUUACUGGGCGUAAAGGGAGCGUAGGCGGGUUUGGAAGUCUGGAGUGAAAGCCUAGGGCUCAACCCCGGGACUGCAUUUGAAACUGUGAUACUAGAGUACGGGAGGGGCAGGCGGAAUUCCUGGUGUAGCGGUGAAAUGCGUAGAGAUCAGGAGGAACACCGACGGCGAAGGCGGCCUGCUGGACCGAAACUGACGUUGAGGCGCGAAAGCGUGGGGAGCAAACAGGAUUAGAUACCCUAGUAGUC
rnacentral:rRNA from 1 species